CCUACGGGAGGCAGCAGUGAGGAAUAUUGGUCAAUGGGCGAGAGCCUGAACCAGCCAAGUCGCGUGAGGGAUGACUGCCCUAUGGGUUGUAAACCUCUUUUGUAUGGGGGGAAUAAGCUUUACGAGUAGAGUGAUGACAGUACCAUACGAAUAAGCAUCGGCUAACUCCGUGCCAGCAGCCGCGGUAAUACGGAGGAUGCGAGCGUUAUCCGGAUUUAUUGGGUUUAAAGGGUGCGUAGGCGGUCCGGAAAGUCAGCGGUAAAAGCCCGGGGCUCAACCCCGGCGAGCCGUUGAAACUGUCGGAC
rnacentral:rRNA from 1 species